rnacentral:lncRNA from 1 species
AUGGGACUCCUCUUCAGCUGCGUUGAAUCGGCAGAGCUCCUCGAUGUGGCAAGGUGCUCCUGCUCAGCCCCCGGGGGAAGAUGCUCCUUCCUCAAACUGGUGGAUGAGGAUGCAGUUGGGGUCAAUACAAGCAACUUCAGAGGAAGUCACUGCUUGAUUAUAAGACUACGGCUUUGGACUGCAGAGGACAGAGUGUGCGAGGAAAACGAGCACUUCUGGGCCAUCCGCAAGCAGCGGACACCCUCUGAAUAUCAUAUGGGAGAGCCUGGGAGCGUGGGUCCAAACCUCCCCGGAGCACGAAGGGGCCGAGAAGAGGACGGAUCGACCGGCAUGCUGCCUGUGCGGCACUACCAGGAAACGUGCACGUCCCGCACCUACCCCUUGAAAACCAGCAUUCAGCUCGCUGAAAAGGCUGCAGGGGGGGAAAAUUAGCAGGAGGAGAUCAGAGGAAGAUAAGCGAGGAGCGAGCCGCUUCCCCGAGACCUUCCACUGCGGAUCCGCGAGGGAACAUCAGACGCGUUAAAAAAACCAAAACAAACCCAAACACGGCGUUCAAGCCAGCACAAGGCGAGCGAAAGAUCAAAAAGACGCGGAGAGAGAGAAAGGCAGAGAGGGAGACAGAUUAACUGGAGCGGCAGCGGCAGCAACAACAACAACAAAAAUCACACUUAAAAUCAUAAUAACAAUAACAACAAUAAUAAACCCCAAACCACCGGCA